ensembl:processed_transcript
NNNNNNNNNNNNNNNNNNNNNNNNNNNNNNNNNNNNNNNNNNNNNNNACUGAUCAGGUAUAUGACCUUUUAAAGUUUCUCAUGUUUUAAAGAUCUCACUGGCUGAGCAUUUAAUAUGCAUAUCCUGGGCACAUGGAGCUUUCUUUCAUAGGUCACAGAAACAGGAAACUUCUUAAUGAAAAAUACAAGUUUUCACAGAUGGUAUGUGAUAUAGUUUAGGGACUUUUUCAUAGAGGCCAGACUCUGCCUUCGAAGCAUGAAAAAACAUGUGAAAGGUCUUUUUCAUGAAGUACAGAGCUCCAGCUCUUCUGUUUCAUCACUAAAUAAUGGAUCCAUUAACAUAAUCUCCACGUGAUUGCUCCUUUCUAUCUUGACUGCAACUAGAAAAUGCCAAUGGAAAGACCAAAGACUUUAGCAGGCACUACUCAACAGGAUCUAAGCUUUAAAAUAUUUCAUUUUCAAUUACAGACAACAUCGAAAAAACGAAGAUGUGGUAUGUAUUAUGGAAUCACUCUCUAAGACACAUUUUUGAUGGUAAUUAUGUAAUACUUUAUCUUUUGUGUGAUGGACAACUGUGAUCCUAGCUGCUUAUUGAUGAUGUUAUUGUUGUUGUUGUUGUGUUUUUUAAAGGAUUUUUAAAAGCAUUGUAAGUCAUAAAUAAUGGCCAUGUGUCUGUGGUUACUGUGUUCAACUGUGAUUCCUUUAUUUUAAAAGGAGUCUUUGUUCAUCAAGGCAUGUCUAAAUCUUUUUUCCCCCAGAAAAAGACCCCAAUUAUCCAAACCACUUUCUAGUAGAAAAUUUAUAAAUUAAGAAAUCAUAAUACAGUUUAGCUACAAAAAUAUGCUCAAACUUCAUCAGUGCCAUGCAAGGCCAGGCUGUAUGCUUGUAUUCCUUCAUAGAUGAAAGAACCUGAGUUCAGGGAUGAUUCUGAGACUCCUUAGAUGUACAUAUCAAGAGACACUUAUUACCCAAUCAAGAAAAGUUUCAACUUCUGGCAUCUGCCUUGCCACGAGACAAAUUGAUAGGGCUUUGAAACUCUACCCUGGCUGCUGCAGAAGUCAGAANNNNNNNNNNNNNNNNNNNNNNNNNNNNNNNNNNNNNNNNNNNNNNNNNNNNNNNNNNNNNCUUUUCAGGUGACCGAGCCUGGAAAUUAAAUUCUGUACAUGGAAAAGUGGGGGUGGCUAUGUCCCAACAGGGAUUCUCCAGUAAGCUCCGGAGAAAUGCUUUAGCAGACUAGAUAACAUCAGAAUGGGCACAAAGAGCCACACAGUUUAGGAGCAGUGUCCACUAAGAAUUCCAGUCUUCAUUAGCUUGAUCUAUGCUGGAUCAUUACUCCAGCAAUACUUUUCAUUUCUUAUUUUGUAUUUUAUUUUAAAUAUCAUUAUAUUAUUUUGAUAAGAUAAUGCAAUUUGUUUUGUCAUAUUUAUCCCUUAUAACUCUCUACACAUACUCAUUCUCCCUUUUCAAUUUUUCUUAAAUGCAUAUCCUUAAAAAACCUUUCUAGUCCAAUUUAUGCCAAACAUGUAUAGGGGCAUCCAUUGACACUUGGGUUGACCUUCAGGGGCAAUAUCUUUAAUUAAAACUGCCCUUCUCUCAGACAAAAGCCAUAAACUACCAAUAACUUCUUAAUUAGGUAUGAGAAGGGCUUCUGAACCUCUUCCCUUCAAGCCACAAUAUUGUCUUCCUUGACUUUGUGAAGGUCCUAUAUGAGCAUCCAGCAAUAUACAUUUAAAGGAGAGCUAGACUCUGAACAUCAAGGAUACUUUGUCCUGGGUAGUUAAAUUCCAUGUUGCCUUUUCUAUUUUCUUCUCCGUGGGUUUACAUAGUCAUCAGAGAAGAGUGUCACCAGAUAUCCUCUUGUCCACGUUUGUAUGUCUUCAUGCUUACGCUUUCACCAGUAAGGUGAUGGGUUAAGAGGAGCUAUUAUGGGUUAGAACAGGUAGCUUCGUUGGCUUAGUUCAUACCUAUCAUAUCCAAAACCCUGAGUUUCAUCCCAAGUAUUCCAUAUAAUGCAUCCAUGAUGGCACAAUCUGCAAUCCUUGGUUUAGAGUUUUAGAUGCAGAAAAGUCUAAGUUCAAGGUCAUCUCUUUCUUUUUUUAAUUUUGUUAUUGUUUUUUUGUGUGUGUGAAUUUCACAUCAUACACCCCAAUCCCACUUAUCUCCUCUUCCCAUUGUACCUCCCCUCCACCCUUGCUCUAACACACAACAAAGAAAAAAUAUUGUGGAAGUUGUAGUGUGUCAGUGUGUUCCACAGUACACCCUUUUGCCUAUACUUCUUUGCUUACAAAUAUUCAUUGUAAUGGCCUAUUGAUCUGAUAAAUGCUCCUGGCUUCUGAUACUCUAUCUGAGGUUCCAUUACUGGAACAUACAGUUUAUCCUCUGGGAUAAUCUAUUGUUGCCGAGUGUCCUGGAGAUCCUGAUGUUUUGUAUCUAUAGGACCAGCCACUUCAUGCAUGUCAGCAGUUCAUUGAUGGGGUAGAUGUUGGGUUGAGCCAAUUCUAAGUCCUGAAGGCCUGGCAGGUCACUAAUCUGUUCAGCCUCCCAGCUGUCCCCCUCUACCACACCCAGGGACAGCUCACCAGAAAGCCCUGCAACCAGAGCUAGCUCUAUCCUACUGUCCAGGUAAGGUACAAAACCCCUCUCCCAAGUGUUGCAGUUAGUGAGGGACAUGGUCAGUUCUCCCACUCUCAUGACCUGAGGUGGGGGCAGAUGUUCCACCUGCCUUAGAUGGCAGAAGAGCAGAGAGGAGGGAGGGUGGCAUCUCUCCAUUUUCUACACCACAGUCCAUCAGACAAGAAAGUAGGGUUGGCUCUCCUGCAUUCACACGUUCCAGGCUGUCUUACCUGCAAGCCCCUCAUGCAGGGCCAGCUCUACUGUGCUGUCCAGGCAAGGUACAGGAUCUGCUCUCCUGAGUGCUGCAGCAAAUGUAGGGGCAGGGAUAGCUCUUCUGCUUUCAUGACCCCAAGGCCAGCUCUUCCACCUGCCAUAGAUGGUAAGGAGGGAGAGGGAGGAAGGGUAUCUCGCCCUCAUCCACACCACUAUAUGGGAGGUGAGUAGAGCCAGCUCUCUAAUGCUCCUGUCCGCAGCAGUGGCUCACAGUCUUCAGCCAUCAACAUGUCCCCGGGCAGUGACCCACACCAGAGACAUUUGCCUGGCCUUUGGUGGUAACAGAUCCCUGAUGCUGCAGGGCCAAGGUGGCAGCACGGACCAGGACCCCACCGUGUUCCCAGGUAGCAUCUCUGACUACUCACAUCAGGCUGCUCCUCGUUACCCUCAAGUCUCCGGUUCAGCCUCUCUUCAUUGUGCCCACAUCCUUCUGUUUCUCGUUCUCUUCUACUUCUCUACCACUAACUAGCUCCUCUUAGUGGUGCCCAGUGUCUCUGAAUGUCUAGGAUCAUCUCAGGAGUGGUCCCUAGUGUGUAUGUCCCACUUGUGUGUUAUGACACUGGGAUUAGCUCCCUGUCCAGGCUUCAUGGCACUGGUCUGGUGGUCAUCACAGGCUUGCUUCUUGCCCAGCUGCCUGAGUGGCCCAAUAUAAAGGUCAUCUAUCUCUGGCUCACACCAGCCCAGGCCCGCAGUCCCACAUGGAGUUCUGACUGGGCCUGAGCAUUGGUGCUGGCACUAGAAUGAUGCUCAUCUCAGACUCACUGUUUUCAGUGAAUGUUGGACUACUAAUCAUUCACAUGUUCAUAAGUCAAAACACUGAGUAUAGCCAUAGCUUCUCUCUUCUCUGCCACCUGCUGACACACAAGUGACAUAGCAGUCACAUCUGCAGUGCCUCGGUCUUCCUUUUUUCAUAAUGAAUUUUAAGCCAGCCUAGGGUAGAUGCCUUUUUCUUCAUCACCGUUGUCAUCAUCAUCACUAGAAAUGACUAAUGAUAACGACAAGGAUGACGACAACAAGAACAUAUCUGCAAAAGGUCUAUUGAUGGAAGGAGAGUUUGUAGGAACUAAUCUUCCCCUUGGUAGGAUGACCACAUUCCUGGAUAGACACAAGCCCAUGAACAUAUGAUUGGCACUAACUGAACUUGGUAGGUUAUUAGAAUUAAAUGAAAAGGACUUGAAGUAGGUAAGGAGUGGAGAGAUAGAAAUGGAAUCAGGAGGAGUUGGGGUGUAGGGUUGGAAUAAAUAGGAUCAAAAUACAUUUUAUGGAGUUCUCAAUUAAGAAAAUAUUUUAUUAAAAAUUUUGAUGAGGAAACGAUAAGCAGACCCAAUGAACACUCAUUCCUUGCGUAGCCACGUACUCAUCUCACGUCAACUCAUGUUGAGGGUUUACACAAGUUUGACCAACUUUCUUUGUCCAACCUUCACGUGACAACUUGAUUUAGAAUGACUUGGAGUCUGAGGCAUCACAGAAGAGAUGCAAGCAUAAAUUGCCUAUCGGUGUGGGUAUUUGAUGGUCACUGACUGAGAGGAGCCUGACAGGCUAAAGACACUGGAUAAAGGAUCUAUUCUAUUUGCUGGUUAAGAGCCCUUCUACAAACUUGGAAAUUCAUAUAUUGAGUCAGAAAUCAAAGGCAGAGCAUCUAUUUCUUUGGUUAUUUCUGUCAGGGAGUAUUGCCAGGGCAUCAUGGCUAAAACUAGAGAUUAAAAACCAGAGAAGAUAUAUUCUCCUUAACUUCCAAACUAUAGUGAUAUAAUAUAUUCUGCAUAAGCUGUCAAAUAUUCUCAAUAAG